rnacentral:lncRNA from 1 species
UAGAACCAGCCUUAAAAACAUGUAUUUGAAAGUGAAACUCAAGAGCCUCCUGGGCCAGAACUCACUCUAAGGAGAGAAGAGACCAGACAUAAAGACUUGAUCAUUGGAAGAUGGGCUUCUGAUAUUCUGGAGAAACCAGUGUUAUCUGAGUGUUAAAGCUCAGUUAUUAAUCC